GCACUCUACUCACUUUCUCUGCCUCAUGGCUUUGCUUACUCAUGCCUUCUGUUUCCUGCCUUCCUUUUCCCACUUCUGCAUUUACCCAAUGCUGACCAUCCUUGGAUGUUUCACUCUCAAACCCUGUCAGAGAAAGAAAGGCCGCUCCUGUUGGGCAGAGCUCUUGUGCCAAGCUUGAUCAUACGCCAUUAGUCUUUAGGUCACGUCUAUCCCUGUCUAAUUAGCACAGUUACAUGGCAAAAAAAAAACAUGGGAACACACCUAUAAAAAACAAAGAACUUCUCUGAUGCUUUACAGAAGCCAGCAAUGAAACCGGCUAGGUGCCUUAUAAGGCCUGUGUAUGCAGGCAGUGCCUGGGUUAUGACCGAGAUGGAUUCCUGAGUGAGUCUUUAAGAAUUUGUAGGUUCACAGAAGCUCUUGCUUUAAGAGAAGAUUCUAUGAGUUGGACUCAACUCGAUGGCAACAGUUUCUGAGGGUCAGGAUUUUGGAAGUGGCUUAAAAGAUGGUUCUGAAUCAGGUUUGUUAUGAGAUUGCGGUCAUCGGAAGACUUGACCGGGGCUGGAGGAUUUGCUUCCAAGGAGGCUCUUCUUUAGCUUACUUGAGUGUCCUCACAGCAUGACAGCUGGCUCUCUCCUGUGUAAGCAAUCCAAGAGAACAAUAUGGAAGCCUCAAUGUUUUUUAUGACCUACCUUUGGUAAUCACACAUCAUCACCUCCAUUAUACAUUUUUAUUCAAUCUAUGAGGAUACGACACAACGGAGUAAAUGCCAGAGCUCUAAAACAGCAGAUUAAGCAAGCAGAAAUGAAGGGAGAUAGAUGCCAGGCCACAUGAAGACAGCCAAGGAACCGAGGAACAGAAGCUGAAGAGAGACAAGGACCGUUCCCGAGAACAAAGAGAGAGAAUUCUCCUAGAGCCAGCGCCCUGAAUUCGGACUUCUAGCCUCCUAAAUGUGAGAAAAUAAAUUUCUGCUUGUUAAAGCUACCCACUUGGGAUAUUUUUGUUAUAACUGCACUAGAUAACUAAGACAUACCUUUACCUUCAAAGAGUAACUAAAUAUCUUCCCUUAAUUCCAAUUUUAAAAUUCCUGGUGAAAAUUUCUCAUUAGACCCACUCGGGCCAUGUGAUGGCCCCAAUGGCCAUUCGUUUGAGUACUAGAGUUGGCUCUUCCACCAGAACCAUCGGGUUUGAGCGCAAGGUAGACCAGUUUCCAAAGAUAAGUGGAUGCUAUUCCCAGAAGGAAGAAGAAAUUUGGGAGAGUGGGAACAAUAGUGGUCUACCAAAAUUAAAUAUCUUAAGUUACCUAAAAACCAACCACUUCACAUUUUUAAAAAACUAAACCACCCUGAGUGAGCAACAGCUACCUUUCCUCCUACCGCCAUUUUCUUCUACUCAACUUUACCAUUAAUACACUUUUUUUUUCAGCCCUUAAGGCAAAUAUUUAUAGAACAAUAAAGCCUUUUUAAUCCUUUCUCAAAGGUUUAUUUUAAGAUUAUGCAUUAUUUUAAUUUGAUAUCAAUGUAAUUUGCAAAUGGUUCCAAUGAACAGUGCCAAUGUUGAAUAAUGUGAAGUUCAUAGAAGACAAUUACAGUUGUAGGGUAGACAUAAGGAAUAUUCAAAACCUGAAAUGAGGUUUGACAAAAAUGCUAAGGACAUCAAAAUAAGGUCUUUAUCUAUCUACCUGUUGCCAGCAAGUUGAUUCCAACUCAUAGUGACCCUAUAGACCAGAGUAAAACUGCCCUAUAUGGUAGUAAUCUUUAUGGAAGCAGACUGCCACAUCUUUCUCCCAUGGAGCAGCUGGUGGGUUUGAACCACUGACCUUUCAGUUAGCAGACCAACGCUUAACCACUGCACCAGUAGGGCUCCUUAUCUACCUGCGUACAUGUAAUAUUCUGAUACUAUAUGUAUUUAUACGUAUAUAUAAUAUAUUUAUAUAUAUUUGUGUGUGUAUAUAUAUAUACACACACAAAUAUAUAUGUAAAAUUCAGAAUAGAAAAACAAGGAAGAGCUAUACUUACUACUGUUGACAAUAUUAAUGUACCCUAAAGUGCAGAAUUCCUCAAAUCUUUCUUCCUUUUUCUACAUAGAAAACACUGAACUUUCCACUGGAAAAUGCAGAUCAAUCACUGCUAAAAUGCACCUGAAGC